rnacentral:rRNA from 1 species
GAAUUUUGGACAAUGGGGGAAACCCUGAUCCAGCCAUCCCGCGUGUGCGAUGAAGGCCUUCGGGUUGUAAAGCACUUUUGGCCUGGAAGCAAAGGUUCGGGCUAAUACCCGGAACUGCUGACGGUACAUUCAGAAUAAGCAACGUCCAACUACGUGCCAGCAGCCGCGGUAAUACGUAGGGUGCAAGCGUUAACCGGAAUUACUGGGGCUAAAGCGUGCGCAGGCGGUUUGGCAAGAAUGAUGUGAAAUCCCAGGGCUUAACCUUGGAACUGCAUUCUUAACUGCCAGGCUAGAGUAUGUCAGAGGGGGGUAGAAUUCCGCGUGUAGCAGUGAAAUGCGUAGAGAUGCGGAGGAAUACCGAUGGCGAAGGCAGCCCCCUGGGAUAAUACUGACGCUCAUGCACGAAAGCGUGGGGAGCAAAC